GGGUGAGUAACACGUGGGCAAUCUGCCCUGCACUCUGGGACAAGCCCUGGAAACGGGGUCUAAUACCGGAUACUGACCCGCUUGGGCAUCCAAGCGGUUCGAAAGCUCCGGCGGUGCAGGAUGAGCCCGCGGCCUAUCAGCUUGUUGGUGAGGUAAUGGCUCACCAAGGCGACGACGGGUAGCCGGCCUGAGAGGGCGACCGGCCACACUGGGACUGAGACACGGCCCAGACUCCUACGGGAGGCAGCAGUGGGGAAUAUUGCACAAUGGGCGAAAGCCUGAUGCAGCGACGCCGCGUGAGGGAUGACGGCCUUCGGGUUGUAAACCUCUUUCAGCAGGGAAGAAGCGAAAGUGACGGUACCUGCAGAAGAAGCGCCGGCUAACUACGUGCCAGCAGCCGCGGUAAUACGUAGGGCGCGAGCGUUGUCCGGAAUUAUUGGGCGUAAAGAGCUCGUAGGCGGCUUGUCACGUCGGUUGUGAAAGCCCGGGGCUUAACCCCGGGUCUGCAGUCGAUACGGGCAGGCUAGAGUUCGGUAGGGGAGAUCGGAAUUCCUGGUGUAGCGGUGAAAUGCGCAGAUAUCAGGAGGAACACCGGUGGCGAAGGCGGAUCUCUGGGCCGAUACUGACGCUGAGGAGCGAA
rnacentral:rRNA from 1 species